rnacentral:rRNA from 1 species
AGCGAACGCUGGCGGCAGGCCUAACACAUGCAAGUCGAACGAACCUUUCGGGGUUAGUGGCGGACGGGUGAGUAACACGUGGGAACGUGCCUUUAGGUUCGGAAUAACUCAGGGAAACUUGUGCUAAUACCGAAUGUGCCCUUCGGGGGAAAGAUUAAUCGCCUUUAGAGCGGCCCGCGUCUGAUUAGCUAGUUGGUUGAGGUAAUGGCACACCAAGGCGACGAUCAGUAGCUGGUCUGUGAGGAUGCUCAGCCACAUUGGGACUGAGACACGGCCCAAACUCCUACGGGAGGCAGCAGUGGGGAAUCUUGCGCAAUGGGCGAAAGCCUGACGCAGCCAUGCCGCGUGAAUGAUGAAGGUCUUAGGAUUGUAAAAUUCUUUCACCGGGGACGAUAAUGACGGUACCCGGAGAAGAAGCCCCGGCUAACUUCGUG